GCACUGUAGAAUAAGGCUUUCCAUCCUGAUUUGGAAACAGGGGGUCGCGGGUUCGAACCCUGCCGGGCACCA
rnacentral:tRNA from 1 species